rnacentral:tRNA from 1 species
UGUAGCUCAAUGGUAGAGCACAUGCCUACCAUGCAAGAGGCCCUAGGUGCAAUCCCCAGCA